rnacentral:rRNA from 1 species
CCUGGUUGGGAUGGAACCCCGGGAACUGGGGAUAAUACCCCAUAGACUAUGAAUGCUGGAAUGCUUUGUAGUUGAAAGGUCCGCCGCCUCAGGAUGGGUCUGCGGCCGAUUAGGUUGUUGUUGGGGUAACGGCCCAACAAGCCUUUGAUCGGUACGGGUUGUGGGAGCAAGAGCCCGGAGAUGGAUUCUGAGACACGAAUCCAGGCCCUACGGGGCGCAGCAGGCGCGAAAACUUUACAAUGCGAGAAAUCGUGAUAAGGGAACCCCGAGUGCCCGUAAAUCCGGGCUGUCCACCAGUGUAAAUAACUGGUGAAGAAAGGGCCGGGCAAGACCGGUGCCAGCCGCCGCGGUAAUACCGGCGGCUCGAGUGGUGGCCGCUAUUACUGGGCUUAAAGCGUUCGUAGCUGGGCUGUUAAGUCCCCUGGGAAAUCCACCGGCUCAACCGAUGGGCGUUCAGGGGAUACUGGCAGCCUAGGGACCGGGAGAGGUGAGGGGUACUCCAGGGGUAGGAGUGAAAUCCUGUAAUCCUUGGGGGACCACCUGUGGCGAAGGCGUCUCACUAGAACGGCUCCGACAGUGAGGAACGAAAGCUGGGGGAGCAAACCGGAUUAGAUACCCGGGUAGUCCCAGCUGUAAACGAUGCGCGUUAGGUGUAUCGGUGACCACGAGUCACCGAGGUGCCGAAGAGAAAUCGUGAAACGUGCCGCCUGGGAAGUACGGUCGCAAGGCUGAAACUUAAAGGAAUUGGCGGGGGAGCAC